rnacentral:rRNA from 1 species
CAGCCGCCGCGGGAAUACGUAGGUGGCGAGCGUUGUCCGGAAUUAUUGGGCGUAAAGGGAGCGCAGGCGGACAUAUAAGUCCAUCUUAAAAGUGCGGGGCUCAACCCCGUGAGGGGAUGGAAACUGUAUGCCUUGAGUGCAGGAGAGGAAAGCGGAAUUCCCAGUGUAGCGGUGAAAUGCGUAGAUAUUGGGAGGAACACCAGUGGCGAAAGCGGCUCUCUGGCUUGUAACUGACGCUGAGGCUCGAAAGCGUGGGGAGCAAACAGGAUUAGAUACCCCCGUAGUCCCUGUCUCUUAUACA